CAAUCACUUUUUUUUUUUUUUUUAGAACAAUCACUUUUGAUGUGUUUAUUUGGUUUUCAGGAUGUUGCAGGCCUCUGCUCCUGUGAGACUUCAGCUACAGAACCCACGUGUGAACCCUCCUAGGGCUCUGGAGAAGAUCAAAUGGAAGCUUGCGUGUGGAAGCUCUUUGAAAACCAUGAAGCACUCUGUAAAUGAAAAGGAUCUUUGAAGAGGAAUGUGGACUGGUUUCUAAAACUGUUCAAUUGUUUGAAAGUAAUCAUAGCCUACAGAGCUUGUCUGAUUUUUAUCUAUAGAUAUGGGAAAGUGUUUUAUCAGCUGCUUCUUUCUUUAAGUACCUGUGUUCAUUUUUCUGUUGAAAUAAAUAUUAAUAACUGGAAAUUAAUGAAUGUUUCACAUGAAAUAAAUCUGAUAUGUGUAUUAGCAGCAACGACUUAUGUCUCAAAUGGGAAAGAACAUUCAUGAAACCAAACUUGAAGUUCAAGUAGAGCUUUCA